AAUGACUAGUUCUGAAAACUAACGUUUCCCCCCGUCUCAUCAAUUAACCCUAUAAAUUCAGGUAUGUAAUGUGCAAAAUUGCAAUAUGACUCAAAUUAUUGAUGUAGCAUGGUUAAUUACAUAGUUCAUGAGUUUGAUGGUGUUCAAGGAAUAUGUGAAAAACUAGUUGGCAUUUUCCCCAUUGUAAGUAAUGUAGUUAGGCUAGGUUGCUAAUGGUCUACUUUUUAAAAUAUAUUAUUAUAUAUUUUUUAAAUGAGCUUUUUCGAAAUUGCCACUGAUAUCUAUUAUGAUAUCGAAUAUGAAAUGAUUGCAUAUACUGUAGUAUAAGAAAAGUGUGAUUGACUUCGGGGUUUUCUAUUGCUGUUUUUGUAUAACGUACUUUGAGGUCACUGAUACUCCACCUGAUGUGGUGGAAGUGUCGAACCAGAUCAGAACGCCUUCGAAGACCACCUUCAGGCGCGGACUUAAAAAACUUCCACAUCCUUUUACCAGGUGAGACUGAACAUGGACAGGGUACAUGAGAAAACGGAGAGCCACCGGAGUAGAAUCAAGGUGACCAAGAGGUUCGACAUCUGGGCAAAUGACUUAGCUUGAAAGGAAGACGAGACCCGGGAAAGCUUGGUGCUUCUAGCUGGGGUCACCAUCCGUUAUUAAGAACCACACAAACUCUUAGUUAACACAGUUGUCAAGCCAUACUGUGCUGUAUUUGCUCUGUUUAAUCAGCGUCAUUAAACAACCUCAACUGGCCUAUCAUCCGUGCCCUUACAAGCACCUGUGCUACGUAAAGUCCUCAACUACAUCCAGGACCUAGGAGUUAUGCCCAACACCCAGACAUGGAUCCACCUGAUGUCCUCCAUUACCAACCACACUCCAACUUUCCAUUACAUCAGCUACUGUUAUUGUCAUUAUCUGCUAAGAAAAAGCAAGCCAACUAUCAUACUGGGCUCAUUAUGUGAGAUACACAGAUUAGCUUAAAACACUAGCACUGCAAACACUCAGAACAAAGAGGGGAGCAGCGCCUGGAUUUUGCGGUCUCCUUCUUUGAGUCCACCUUCCAAGACGGACGACCUGUUGAAAACAAGUGACAGGCAGAACCUCCCAUCCACACAAUACCCACCUCCUCUCUGUUCCACACACCAGAAUUCAGCAUUUCAGUCUAUGAUUGCCAUGUGAGUGUACAAAAAAAUAAGUAAAUUGACACAUGUACCUAUAAAAUAUUGCCAGAUUGUUUUUUAUAGCUGUUUCAUAGGAUGUUCAUUAUUGUCAAUUGUAAGGUAUUCCUUGAUGGUAUUUGUUAAUUACAACAAUUAAUAAUGUUGAAGACAUACAAUAUAUAUGUUCAACCACAA